rnacentral:rRNA from 1 species
CAGCCGCCGCGGUAAUACGAAGGGUGCAAGCGUUACUCGGGAUUACUGGGCGUAAAGCGUGCGUAGGUGGUGGUUUAAGUCCGUUGUGAAAGCCCUGGGCUCAACCUGGGAAUUGCAGUGGAUACUGGGUCACUAGAGUGUGGUAGAGGAUAGUGGAAUUUCCGGUGUAGCAGUGAAAUGCGUAGAGAUCGGAAGGAACAUCUGUGGCGAAGGCGACUAUCUGGGCCAACACUGACACUGAGGCACGAAAGCGUGGGGAGCAAACAGGAUUAGAGACCCCCGUAGUCCCUGUCUCUUAUAC